ensembl:snRNA U6 U6 spliceosomal RNA
UGUCCAAAGAAGAAAAGGAUAUAUUCCUAAAAUUGGAACGACACAGAGAAGAUUAGCAUGGCCCCUGUGCAAGGAUGACACGCACAUUUGUUGCGCAUUCCAUAUUUUU